rnacentral:rRNA from 1 species
AUUGAACGCUGGCGGCAGGCCUAACACAUGCAAGUCGAACGGUAACAGGAAGCAGCUUGCUGCUUUGCUGACGAGUGGCGGACGGGUGAGUAAUGUCUGGGAAACUGCCCGAUGGAGGGGGAUAACUACUGGAAACGGUAGCUAAUACCGCAUAACGUCGCAAGACCAAAGAGGGGGACCUUAGGGCCUCUUGCCAUCGGAUGUGCCCAGAUGGGAUUAGCUAGUAGGUGGGGGAACGGCUCACCUAGGCGACGAACCCUAGCUGGUCUGAGAGGAUGACCACCACCACUGGAACUGAUCCCCGGUCCAGACUCCUCCGGGGGCCACAGGGGGGGAAUAUUGCACAAGGGGCGCAAGCGGUAUGCUGCCAGCCCGGGUGUAGGAAGAAGCCCUGGGGUUUUUAAAGUCUUUCAAGGGGGGAGGAAGGAGAAAAGGUAAAUCCCUUCGCUCUUUGACGUUCCCCGAAGAAAAACCCCCGGCUACCUCCGUC